rnacentral:rRNA from 1 species
AUGCACGCUGGCGGCGUGCCUAAUACCUGCAAGUCGCGCGAACGGACGAGAAGCUUGCUUCUCUGAUGUUAGCGGCGGCCGGGUGAGUAACACGUGGAUAACCUACCUAUAAGACUGGGAUAACUUCGGGAAACCGGAGCUAAUACCGGAUAAUAUUUUGAACCGCAUGGUUCAAAAGUGAAAGACGGUCUUGCUGUCACUUAUAGAUGGAUCCGCGCUGCAUUAGCUAGUUGGUAAGGUAACGGCUUACCAAGGCAACGAUGCAUAGCCGACCUGAGAGGGUGAUCGGCCACACUGGAACUGAGACACGGUCCAGACUCCUACGGGAGGCAGCAGUAGGGAAUCUUCCGCAAUGGGCGAAAGCCUGACGGAGCAACGCCGCGUGAGUGAUGAAGGUCUUCGGAUCGUAAAACUCUGUUAUUAGGGAAGAACAUAUGUGUAAGUAACUGUGCACAUCUUGACGGUACCUAAUCAGAAAGCCACGGCUAACUACGUG